CAGUAGCCACGGUAAUACGUAGGUCCCGAGCGUUGUCCGGAUUUAUUGGGCGUAAAGCGAGCGCAGGCGGUUAGAUAAGUCUGAAGUUAAAGGCUGUGGCUUAACCAUAGUACGCUUUGGAAACUGUUUAACUUGAGUGCAAGAGGGGAGAGUGGAAUUCCAUGUGUAGCGGUGAAAUGCGUAGAUAUAUGGAGGAACACCGGUGGCGAAAGCGGCUCUCUGGCUUGUAACUGACGCUGAGGCUCGGAAGCGUGGGGAGCAAACAGGAUUAGAUACCCCGGUAGUCCCUGUCUCUUAUACA
rnacentral:rRNA from 1 species